CUGGCAAACUGCCCAGCUUUAUGUGAUGGAUUGGGUCUGCAAGAAGCAGAUAUUAAGAUGGGAUUAGACAAGCAAAAACAUUCACUGGGUGAUUUGCCUGUAGGAAGAUGUAGGAUGAGUCUUCAGAUUAGAUCCAAGUCUGACAUCUUUGGAAGCAGAGUGGGAAGAAGGGAGGACUUGGGGGAAGAGCCUAAGAUCACAGCACAGGUCUAAGAACAUCUUGGCCAGGCUGAUAAGGAGUCCUCCAGCUAAAGUCACCCCUGAGAGGAGUCCCAUGUCCUGUGGGAAAGGGCUGGCAUGGACUCUGCUGUGCUCAGUCACUGGGUGGUAUAGCCUUGGAGAAGCGUAGCCUCAUUGUGAACAUGGCGGAUCCCAGUAGGUGACAGCUGGGGCUGACAAUCAGCUAUGUUCCUACAGCAGGAGAUCUGAACAGUGCAUUUCUGUGGCACCAUACUCUUAAUCCUGGAUGUCCCUCACCCACUGUGUCCUGAACAGAGAAAUGUAUUUAAAUAAAUACAUAUUGAGGGAAUGGACAGUUGGGAAGGGAAGAAAUCAGGUCUCUCUAAGGAGAGAGUCUGGCCUUUUUAGAAGACAUUCAUGUGGAGCAGACAUAUGGAAUACCUUGGUGCAGAGACAGGUACCCAAGAAAAGGUGUUUACCUCUGUCUAAAUCUGGAGCACGAACCAGAUGGCUUCGGAGCAGGCGGCAGUUCUUGUGGUUGUUCGCCCAAAUGGUGUUGAUUGUCAAAACGCACAAGGUAGCAAGUCUGGAGCAUGGGAAUCACUUCUGCACUGUCCCCUUCACAGUGAAGGAGGAAGGUCCACACAGCCCUUAAGACCUGCCCUUACAGACUCCAGGCACAGGAGAGAAGGUUCAGGGUCAGAAUGGUCAUUCAUUCAACAAUACCAAUUUCACGCAAGUGCUCAGAACCGCACCGGGUGCUGGGGAAAGCUCCAGGUAGCCUCCAUGUGCCCCUUCAGACCUGGUCUCCACCCUUCCCCACCUUGCUUCGGUCUCGGAAGGCUGACCUAUCUGGGCAGCAGCAGGCUCCAGUGGUCUCUGGCUUCUGGUUGGGCUUCACCAACAGAGGGUCCUGGCAGGAGACUGGGAAGAGGGAGGGUGGGAUCAGGCACUUCCAUCUCUGGCUCCCUCUGUGGUCACCUCACAUCUCUAUGACCGUCACGUUUGCUCUCAAGGAGGCAGAUUUGACAUAGUUCUCCCCUCUGUAGCUUCUGUAAUGACUCCCCGCUUCCUUCCUUGAAGCCUAGGGUGGUAAAUUCUGGCUUACAGCCCCUACCCCCACCCUUCACUGUAAACAAACCCUCCUCCACUCAGCCACUUCAGAUGUGCUAUCAGUCUCCCUGGAGGCCCUGGAGUGAGAAAGGAGCAAAAGACAGACUUGGCCUGUCUGGGGUCAACAGACAUUAUCUUAAUCAGCUCUGGCUGCCAUAACAAAAUACCAUACUGGCUAAACAAUAGAUAUUUAUUUUUUGCUUUUCUGAAGGCUGAAGGUCCAAGUUCAAGAUUUGGUCCUAGGAGAGAGCUCUCUCUCUCGCGCGCGCUCUUUUUUUUGUCUUUUUGCCUUUUCUAAGGCCACUCCCGUGGCAUAUGGAGGUUCCCAGGCUAGGGGUCUAAUCGGAGCUGUAGCUGCUGGCCCAUGCCAGAGCCACAGCAAUGCAGGAUCCAAGCCGCGUCUGUGACCUACACCAUGGCUCACGGCAACGUCAGAUCCUUAACCCACCGAGCAAGGGCAGGGACCGAACCCGCAACGUCAUGGUUCCUAGUCGGAUUCAUUUACCACUGUGCCAUGACGGGAACUCCUAGGCGAGGGCUCUCUUGCUGGUUUGUGGGCAGCCACCUUUUCUCACUGUGCCCUCACAUGGCAGAGAGUGUGUGGUCCAGCUCCAGUCUUUCUCCCUCUUGUUAUAAGGAUGCUCAUCCUAUCAUGGUGGUCCCACCCUCAUGACCUCAUCUCAACAUGCUUGCCUCCCAAAGGCCCCAUCUUCAGAUACUAUCACACUGGGGGUUUAGGGCUUCAACACAGGAAUUGCAGGGUAGAGGGCUACAUAAUUUAGCUCACAGCAGGCAUCAAACAUAUGAUUCCACAAACAUUUUAAAUUAUAAUACAAUAAAAUCUGCAAUGGAAAAGUGCUUGGUACCUCCUGUCCAGGGUGACGUAGGCGUCAGUAAGGGCUUCCCCCAGGAGGUGAUAUGCUUCCUGUGCCUGCACUGGGCCUGGACCAUACGUUUCAGGCAGAGCAAAGGCAGGCGUGAACGCCUGGGGUGGGAAGGAGCGGGGGUGUUCAGAACCAAGAGAAGGCUGGCGAGUGGGCAGCAGCCUAGUGAUGGCCGUGGGAACAGUUCAUGCAAAUCCCUCUCUUCUCUUUCUUCUCUCCAGUCUCUCCUCCGCCCCCUUUAUUAUUUUCUUUAUUCGUGGGCUUCAAAGAGGCCUCCAGCCCAAGGUCACCUGCUGAUCUUGGGAAGGACAGGGUCGGAGGCCCCUGGCUGAGCCAAGGUGAAAGUCUCCAGGUUCAAAACACAGCCUGGGAUGUUGCCUUCGGCUCUGCUCUUCCUCUGGGCGGCAGGGUGUGUGGGAUGAUUAACUCCUUGGGAUCUAAGUGAUGAAAGGGAGCGCAUGGCUCAGAAGCAGAAGGAGCCUAAUAUGUAGAGGGCUGGUUAUGAAGGGUUCACAGAUGCCGGACAGACAAGACAGAGUGCGCUUGGCAGGGCACUGUGGGACCUCAUUUAUUGGAUCCAUUAUCUGAAUUCAAAACAACUUGAAAUUAUGACCGUGAGAUAAAAAUAAAAGAUAAAGAGUGUUUGCAGUCAUCCUUGCCCCUGCCUGUCUCUAUUGUGAGCAUUGUAGAGGCCUCUCCUGCCUUUCUUUAUGUUUCAGAUCAUUUAAUUAAAUUUAACUAGUCCUUCUGGACCAGAAAGGGAAGGAGGGAGCCAGCAUUUACUAUGCGCUAGGCACUGCAUUAAGCAUGUUGAUCCUGGAAGCUACACACGGCAGUUCAGUUUCUCAUUUAAUCUUCCCAGCAGCUCUACACAGAAGGUGUUAUUAUCCACAUUUGAUGGGUGGGGGUAUGCUGCAGUUUAGAAAGAUCGGAUCAAUUGUAAUCCCUUAGUUAGAGGUAUACAUCUUUUGGUCCAUCUGUCCAUCCAUCCACCUGUUCGUGUAGCCCUCCAUUCAUCCAUCUGUCCAUCAUCCAGGCAGCCAUAUCCGUCCAUCCACCCACCCAUAAGCAGUACUUACUGAUCAUGCUUCACAUGCUCUGAGGCACUGAGGUAUCAUUGGUCUUCUGCCUUUGGAGCCUGCAGUCUAGUGUGUGUUGGGGGGGUGCUCCGACCUCCCUAGGCCCUUUGGAUGGGAGACCAAAGCCCCAUUCCAAGGCCCCCUACACAGUCUAGGUCUGGACUUGAGUGUCUGGAAAAACUUAGGGCUUUUCAGUGGCACACGAGCUGCUCUUUGCCCUUAAAGAGAAUGUAUUUUGUGUGGGCAACUGUCUUGAGGGGUAUCCCAGGAUAUGGGCCUUAGUGCUAAAACCAGAGAGUCCUGGGCCGACUUGGAUGGUUGGCCACCAUAAUUCAGUGCUUCUCAACAGCAGGGUGAUUUUGCUCCCCUACCAGGAACACUUGGCAAUGUCUGGAGACAUGGUUGGUUGACACAGUUGGGGUGGCAGAGCAGCUACUGUCAUCUAGUGGAUAGAGGUCAAGAAAGCUAUUAAACGUCUUACUCAGGGCAGCCCCCUUCACAAAGAGCCAUCUAGUCUAAAAUGUCGACAGUGCCCCAGGCUCAAGAGAGGGGCUGAAAGUGUGGCAAAAUUGCUGAUGCCAGGAGCAGCAUUCAGCUAAUGGUAGGUGGAGUUUCUAAUACCAAGAGCAUUCAGCCAAUGAUGGGUGGAGUUACUGAUGCCAGGAACAGCAUUCAGCCAACGGUAGGUAGAGUUUCUGAUACCAGGAACAGCAUUCAGCCGAUGGUAGGUGGAAUUAACUGAUGCCAGGAACAGCAUUCAGCCAAUGGUGGGUGGAGUGUCUAAUAUCAGGAGCAGCACUCAGCCAAUGUGGGUGGAGUUGUCAGGUAACUACCCCGACUUCUUUACCUGUUAAGUUAGAAACUCCCAUGCGUGGUCUGUGUUCUCUCUCAGACUUUCCCAGUGGAAUUGAGCCCCUGGUUGCCCAUGGUGGUUGCCUGCUCAGUAACACAGCCCUUCAGUGGCUGUCUUUCAUUUCCUGACUCAUCCCUCACUCCCCUGCAGACCCGCCCCUGGAACUACUUGCACUCAAGUUCUUAACUGACGGUCUGCUUCUGAUGGGACCCGGUUAUCUUUAUACAUGGAAAAUCAAACAUGGCCAGUUUUAUUAAAAGAUAACAUUGGGUUGGCCACUUGGAAACUUCACUCUUCUUCUCACCAUUUCUGUCCCUUAAACUCAGUGCUGGGGUCCUGCUGCAUAGCCACAAGCAGGUGCAGGAGGGUGGGUGGCCACAAUGCCCAGAAGUAGUUCAUGCAUAAGCCGCUGGUGCAUGGCCCUCUUUGGGUGACCUCGGGUGCACACAGAUAGGCCUAAAGGGACAUGAGAAGGGGUGCUGGUGUUGAGGCAAGAUGAGGAAGGGAAGUGGAAGCAGUAAGGCAGGCUGGGUUUCUUCUGACCUGGCCUCAGUGACACAAGUUGGCCUUGUGAUUGUACACCUGGGCUUUCUGUACCCUCAGUUGAGUGUGGGUUAGUUGGGUUAGUAUAGCAGGAUGCAUGAUGUUCCAGGCUUUAGAGUCUGAGAGAGUUGCGCUUGAAACAUAGCGUUGGUAUUUACCACAUCUCUGCCCUUGAAUGACUUAACUCAGUCCCUUGCUUCACGUGAUUGUCAUGAAAAGUAAAUGAUAAAAUAUUAAAUGAUAGAAUGGUAUGUAUUGUGCCUGACGUGCCAUAUACAUUGUGGCUCAGCUGGUUAAGAACCUGACUAGUAUCUGUGAGGAUGUGGGUUCGAUCCCUGGCCUCCCUCAGUGGGUUAAGCAUCCAAUACUGCCAUGAGCUGUGGUGGAGUUUGCAGAUCCCACAUUGCUGUGGCUGUGAUGUAGGCUGUCAGCUGAAGCUCUGAUGCAACCCCUAGCCUGGGAACUCC
rnacentral:lncRNA from 1 species